rnacentral:lncRNA from 1 species
CGUCAUUAGUAUGCGGGUCCCACCGUCAUUAUGACAAGAUAAGGAUAAGUAUAAAAUAUCUAGUUUCACGUUUAUCGAUACAACCGGAUAAUUAUCGAAUACCGAAAGAUUCCGCCAGACCGGCUCCGGAACAAACCGUACUCCGGAUCGAAAAAGUCAAAACAUGAAAAGUGUCCGGAAUGUUCAAAUUAGGCUAAAGGUGAAUUUUGUUGAAAUUUUCGGGAAGUAAAAUCUCGGUACCGUUGUAGGUUGACG